CGGACCCCUGGGGGAACCCGUAGGGAAACCGAGGCCCCCAAGCGCAGGGACCAGGCGCCCCUUUCUCUCCCUCGGCAGCUGGAGGCACAGCUGUGCUGUGUCCUUGCCCUGAGGGUGCCCCGGGCGCCCGGCUCGCGGACGAAUUUCCUCAGUUCGGGGGACUUUUCCGUGCAGCUGCUCCGGUUCCGUCUGUGACUCCCAGAGGUCGCCACGCCGCACCCAGGUGGUGGGGGACCCGCCUUCCUGGAGCGAGCCAUUCAUCCAGUUACGGACCCGCCAGGCCCUCUGCAAUGAGAGCAAACCCAGAGGCCUGCUUUCAUGAACUUGAUCAUCUGCUGAGGGAGCCAUUGGUGAAACACCUAACUGUUCAAGUGAAAAUGUCCAACGUUGACAAAUUUUAAUAAGGAAGAGGUCCAGAGUGCUAGGCGUCCAAACAAGCAAGGAACCUGCUCCAGACCUGGGGGGCCAAGGAAAUGAUGCUGGAUGCUGGGAGCUGAGCAGGCGUUAACCACGCACAGAGGAGAAGGCCAUGGCAAGAGAGGGCCUGGCCUGGUGAGAACAGCAAGAGCUGUGUGCCAAGGCCCGGGAGUGGAGGACAGUGGAGGAGGUGAGGCCACGGACAUCCGCAAGGACCGCAGGCCGCGGCAGAGACUGUGGGCCAGAUCCUAAGAGGAAUGGGGAGCCACUGAAGGAUUUUAACCCAAACAGGGACACCUGUGUUUCCAAAAGAUGUUGGAAGGAGCCAGAAUGUGUGUGUCCAGAGGAGAUGAGCAGGCUAUGGAGCAUUUUCAAAAAUCAUUGGAAUCAUUUGUUCUUUAAAGUCUAGGAAUCUCACCUCCUCACCUUGGCUGUGAGGUCUUCUGAGGCAAGAAUGAUGCCUGUUCUUUCUUGGGCAUGUCCUCCCAGCCUGGCCAGCCAGAGGCCUGGACACCUAAGAGCUGCUGGCCUUUCCUUGAACUCUGAGGGCUUCUGUGGAACAGAGAGGAGUUUGACUGGGAGAAUGGGGAGUUUGACCACUUGCUAUGACGUGCGCUGACCAUCAGGGGUGGCACGGAACAUGGCGGGUGUCAGCGACAGUGGAGGUGCUGUGGGCCCCGAUAGGCCCUGAUGAGAACGAGACCACGGCGGGAUGGUGGAGCAGAGGAGGCCACCUAAUGCCAUUGACCAUAUGUGAGAGGAAAAGGACUGGAUUCCAGAAACAGAGGAGACAGAAGAAAGUGUGAGCAAAUCACACCUGCAUCUGUGCAGUCUUCCCAGAUUUCAUGUUUUCCCUUCAGGAUUCCCCCCCCAGAUGUCUACAGGCACUCCGAUGCUAAGGGCAAGUGAUCCAGUUUUCCUAACACUCUAAAACGGUGACAUUUCAAGUGUGAUUUGUGACCAGCAGCAUCAGCAGCACCUGAGAGCUUAUUAGAAAUGCAGAUUCUCAGCCCGACUCCAGACCUAAUGAAUCAGAAUCUGUACUUGAAUCAGAUCCCAGUGUCUGCGGCAUCCAUUACCAUGCCUAGAACCUGGGAGAUCCUCAACAAAAGUUGUUUGGAUUGAAUUUCUACAGAUACAUAGUUAUCCAUCCGUAUAAACAUAGAUACUCAGAGGACAUCUCAUUUUCAGUGUGGCAAAUGGAAAGCACAUAGACUUCACGGUCAGCUGGACUAGGUGCCAAUUCUGCUACCACUUGCUAGCCCGCCUGAUUGUUGGUAAGUUACUAAACCUCUCAGAAUAGGUAAGAUGGGUUUUUGUGAGGCUGAAAUGGGAUGGCAUAUACAGUAUACAGCACAGAUAGGGCACUGUAUAAAUAGUCAUUCCCUCCCUCUUCCAUCUCUCUAGGUCAUUUUUUAAAAAUAUGUUUUUAUUGAUUUCAGAGAGGAAAGGAGAGGGA